rnacentral:hammerhead_ribozyme from 1 species
GUACUGCUGAAGAAUGCCAAACUAGGACGAAACAGCUGUCCAGUAC